rnacentral:lncRNA from 1 species
GAGAUGAAGGUGGGGCCAGCCUCAUCACCCAUGCUGGCCACUAGGUGCACGUGACCUCUUCAGGAUGCCAGCUUGAGGAGGGACAGCCCCAGGCACUGACCGGCACUGGAUUCUCUCUCUCUCACCUGUUUCUUCCUCGUGGGGAGUGUCCUAUAGGGUCGUUGAGAGGUGCACACAGGUGGUGCUAAAUAAAAGCUUCAGGCGUACGAAGGCUUCCCCUGGGGGUCUCCGUGGCCAUCCCUCCUGCUCUUGGGGCAGAGACCCGCUGCUCACUCCUUCUGCACCAGGAGCCCCCCCCCCCCGCCCCGCCCCCAGUCUACUUCCUCUUCCUGGACACAGGCCUAGGGAGGGCCAGUGCUCAAGGCCACGUAGCACCGGGCCCCUGCCCCACCAGUCGUGGGCUCUCAGCAGCCCCUACUUCCCCACAGCACCAGGCAACACGAGGGGGAGGCAGCCAGGGAAGGCUUCCUGUAGGAGGGGCCCUGAGCCUCUUGGAGAGAUUGUGGUUUCUCCUGGAGAUCUCAGGGCCAGACAUGUGGUCAAGUCCUAGGUCUCUGUUCCGAUGGCCCUGCAGCUGGAUUCAGUUGAUUCCGCUCCCAGCUCUGUGCAGGACUGGCUCUGUGGCCCCCGGCAGGGUGCUCACCCGCUCUGAGCCCUGGCCUGCUGCCACUGUGCAAAGGACCCGUAGCAUGAACUGGCAUAGCUGGUGCCACAGUGUCCAUGUGGGUGCACGGCUCCAGCGGCUGGAGUUGGAAGAGCGUGUGAGGCUGCAGUGGGUCAGAAGGUCAGUCACCCUCCAGCUUCGUCCUCCCAUCCCGAGCGUCCGUCUCCUCGGGCCAUCAGGCCGAGGAGGACCUGUACCUCACCCAGGACGAGAUGAUGCUGAGAAUUGCAUCUGCUGAGGCAAGGGUGCUGCUGUCACUCUUCAUGCGUUCUAGAAAAAUCCUCGGGUUCGCGUUGGCGGCCUGGGCCCCGGGAGGGACUCCCUGUGACUUUGGGUUUGACCUGAGACGCUGUGGGUGGGUGCCAAGCUGCCUCCCACCCAGAGGUCAUCUCACCUCUUGGCCACCCCUUCCUGCCGCGGGCCCUCUGCCUGGAGCCUGUGCGGGGGCCCUGGCGCCCGGCUCUCCGCCAGCCGGCCCGCACUUCCCCAGGCCGGGCAGCACCUGCUACAGCUGGAUCCCUCCUCUUUUGUUCAUUUGCUCCCGAAGGGUCUGUCUGUCAUCCUACCUGAUGCGAACACCAAGGGGCCGGCACCCCCCGUUCACACCGCACUUGGUGCUCGAGGGAGCUGCUUGUGGGUCAAACGAACAGGCAAAGAGCGAAGAGGCGGCGGGUUACCCCCACCUGCAGGCGAGGCCCCCCGUCUCCACCUGGCUGCCUGUAGACGCUUUCUGACACCCACUUGCUCAGGGUAAUGCUUUCAAAUGCAGGAGAAAACCCGCGUACAAGAGGAAACAGAGACAUGAGCUUCUUGUGAAAAUAGGAUUUGAAAACGUGUGAGACAGUGAUGAGCAGGCCGUUGUUGAAAAGCCCCUCAGAGGUCAAGACCCAGCAGAGGCUGUGGCCAGGGCCUCCCUGCCUCCACGCACCGCAGAGGGAGCCGUGUCCACUUUGCCGAGAAAAGGGGGUGUCCGCGUUUUCCCAUGAGUGUUGAGUUCACGCUGCCUUGGGGCCCAUCUCUGGGUCCCCAAGGAGGACCUCCUGGCAUGUGCCACCUUGGGGCGGGGGGCACACAGCCUGCAGGGAUGGGGUCAGCCUACUCACCUGGCCCAGCUCUGAGGGGACGCUGACGACAGCCAUGCCCCCGUCCUGCAGGGGUCCCCUGCUGUGAGCAGUUCCCAUGAGAGAAGGUGGGAGACCCCGCUCCCUGUAGCAAGGUGAGCAGGGACCAGAGGGGGAAGUGACAGGGCCGGGCCCAAGGCAGGUUGAGGCCGGAGUGGUCUUGGGAUAGCCUGACGCCCCGCCUGCCAUCUUGCAGUGCAGGCCCUCGAGGGCGCUCUCAGGUCACAGGGGCAAAAUCAUGAGGGGCCUUCUGAGGCCUGGUUCCUGUUGCCCUCAGCCUCCUCCCAGACCCUGGCCCCAUGCUCAGGGCAGUCAGACCCAGGCCCCAGCCUCAAGGGAGAGAUUUGGAGGGAUAGGAGCAGAGGCAUGGAAUUGGGUAUUGAAGGAUGCAUAGGAGUUUGAGGGAGCAGGAGGAAGAAAGGGCUGUGGGCAGAGGGUCUGGCAUGUGGCAAGGCAGGAGGUGGGAGGCCUUUCCUCCAAUGCCGUCUUUGUGGAUUUUUACGGCCACUGGCAGGUGAGCAACAGGAGACUCCGGUGCUCCCCCAGCCUGACGGCCGCCACCUCACCCUGGGACCCUCUGGCCCAGCCUACCCGCCUCCCCCCCAACCCCGAACACUUGGAAUGGAGCGACGUUCCAGCCUUUAUCCUGGUGUUUCCACUUCCACGAACCCUGCCCCCCCGUUCUCUCCUCCACAGGUCUCAAGUCCAGUGGCAGCCCCCUCAGCGAGGCCUUUCCCGACCUCUGGAGUUACUCGGCUUCUCUCUCCCCAGCCUGUUUUUGGUCUGCCCUGCCUACCAGCGCGUGUCGGCUGGUGGCGGGCUCAGCAGGUGUCUGCCCCGUGCUGGCUGGCUGCUCAGUGCAGCUCUGGAGAGCAGGUGGGCUGAGGCCUUGGCCUCGCUCCUGGAGCUGAGCUAUAAAGGGGCCCUUGGGUCCCCCAGAAGGCCCACCUAUUGUCCCGACUCCUGAGCUCAGGCCACGCCAGGGUGAACCCGGCCCCUCGGAGGUCUGUCAGGCCGCCUAGAGCAUUUUCUGAUUCCAAAAUAAAGCCAGAUUUACGAAACGAGGAGGAAAAGGGAAGCUAAGAAAACCGCUAUCCCCAUGCCCUCAGCAGGUCCCUGGGGACGGAGGCCAGGGGCCCAGGCAUCACCCUGGGCUCAGCCUGCUCCGAAGAAAGCAGACGGCCCCUCUGUCUGGACGCAGAGGGACAGAGGCAGGACACCGGGGGCUGGGCUCAGCCCUGCAGCUCCUGUCUCCUCCUCUGUCAGAGACCCUUGGCCGCUUCGAACACCCUCAGGUCCGACACCAGGCGCCCAGCAGAACCAGUUCAGGUCCGGGGGGCUUGGGCAGCAGCACCGGGGCCGGACAUCUUGGGGGCUGCGUAGAGGAGGCGUCCUUUGAGCUUGAAAGAUGCGUGGCUUUAGGGGCGGCAGAGCCGGGCAUUGGAGGGCGAGGGGCUCUGAGGCGUGGGCAGUCCUGAGACGUGGCUCACUGGGGACCGCGUGGUCGCGUGACCACGUGACCUCAGCAGGGCGCCAGCCCCAGCGCGCGCCUCAUCCGGACUGUCCUUCUCUCUCGCUGACACUUAAGGACCUUUUAUGCAUCGAGUAAUCAAUCCUUUUUAUAACAGACACGUAUCGUUGGCCCUUUAUUUUGCUUAUAACGGGGUUUGAUAAACAACCUCCCCAGUGUUUUUACGUGGGCAGAUUUUCCAGCCUUUUCCAGGUGGCUCCUUGUCACUGUGUCCGAGGCCUUUUCUCUCCUGUGCACAUGCUGGGCACUUAGAAAACGUCUGAGACUCGAAUUAAGUUGAAGCUUGAAAAACUACAGCUGGGGUUCCCGUUGUGGCGCAGUGGAAACAAAUCUGUCUAGGAACCACGAGGUCGCGGGUUCGAUCCCUGGCCUCGUCCAGUGGGUGAAGGAUCCGGCAUUGCCAUGAGCUGUGGUGUAGGUUGCAGACGCGGCUCCGAUCCCGAGUGGCUGUGGCUGUGGUGUAGGCCGACAGCUGUAGCUCUGAUUCGACCCCCAGCCAGGGGACCUCCAUAGGCUGCGGGCGUGGCCCUAAAAAGCAAAACAAAAAGCCCCAAACCUACAGCUGGAAGAAAACUAGCCACCAUGUGCCUCCGCUCUCUGGAUCCCUCCCUCGGAGUUCCUUCCCACCGUGUCCGACGCUCACCCCUUCCUGCUUGGAGGGGAGGGUCGGUCCCCGACCACUCCGUGACCCCUCUUCAGUGUGAGUCGGGGGCUCAGGGAUGCGACAGUGGGAGUGGCUGGGGGACCAGGAAAUUUCCAGCGCCACGUGUUAACUUGAUGAAACCCGGCAGAGAGAGAACAUCAUUGGUCUCAGCUGACAGAUGAGGAAAUGGGCUCAGAGAGGUUAUAUGACUUGCCCAGGGUCACCCAGCAAGGGACAGAGGCAAGACUUGAACCCAAGCCAUCUAGCCCUGAGUUUAUAUUCUCAAACUAUUCCCCGCCCCGCCCCCCGCCGUUGGGGUCAAGUCCAAGCUCAUUGAAAUGACAUCCAGGGCCUCUCAGAGCCUCAGUUCCCCCCACAUCAGCGCAACCUGCACUCGUGGGCACUCAGGACGCCUCCGCCCUCCCUGUCGUUAGGGUGACAGGGUGCCUGCCUCUCUCUACCCCCUCAGCCCCCAGUCCUUAGGACCGGAGUGUUGGGGCUGGAAGGACAGCCCCCUGUGCGCAGCCAGGAAUAGGGAGGCGGAGAGCUGGGUGAGCCGUUGCCAGGGCCAGGCGCGAGGGCAGAGCUCACUGUGCCGUGCUCGGGCUCGGGCUCGGGCUCGGGCUGGGUGCUGUCCAUGAGACCCUUACCCUCGACGGUCAGACACCCCCUGGGCUCCACGGCUCUGACUGUGGCCCUGACGACCCUGCUUGUUGUGGCUGCUGGUCCCUUUGCUGUCUGCCUGCUCGGCAGGGCGACCCUUGCAGGCAGGGGCUUUCUCCACUCCAUCCACACGUCCCUGGACCCAGCUGAGGCCAGCGUGGAGCAGGCCCUCGGGAAAGGCCGACGGCGAGAGGGAGGCCCGGAGAGGGACAGGGCCCUGCCCCGGGUCCCACAGUGAGUUCCAGCAGAACUGGAGCCCCACGGAAACCCCUCCAGGUCCCACUUUCUCCUGGGACUCAAGCCCAGGAAUGGGGCAGCGUCUGCAGUGGCCACUCUAGGAAAGGGUGCCCAGAGGCCUCUGGCCUCUGCUGCUCCCAGGGGCCUGGGGCCAAGGACACUCUGUCCCUCCUCCCCCCUCCCCCCGAAGGAUGUUCUCAAGAUAAAAAUACCCUCGGAAACGCUCCCCAGUGCCUGGCCUGACCUGUCGUCCACUCAGGGGGCCAGAACUUCCUGCCCUGGCUUCACCCGGGGUCAGAGCCGGGACAUCCGCCCUCCCGGGCACUUGGCACAGCCUGUCCCUGUGUCGGUCAGGGCCUCCAGCCCCAACCCCCAGGGCACAGAGUUUGAGGGCCCCGAGGGGUCGCGGUUGCUCGUGGUCAGGGUUGGCCUGAUCUGCCAGCACUGACACCCCAAGCACAGAGGGACAGGGCGGCCAGGCCUCUGCCCGGUGGAGCCCAGGGCUCUCCUGCCUCGCUGCCUGUUACUCAGGCCGCACGGGAGGCCCAACUGUCCAUCAGGCCGGAAUCCUGAGCCGGUUGUGAGCUGCUGGGAGGACAGGCUCCUACCGAGCGUCUGCCGUGUGUGCCAGAGACCGGGGCGGGGCCUGGCUUCACCCCUUCACAGCCCCCCCCCCCGAGGUAGGAGGGGUCUGCCCAUCAGCAGAUGAGGAGCCUGAGGCCCAGGGACGUUCCCAGAGGGAGCUGGGGGUGACCAGGGCUUGAACGCAGGACCGGGGGCUGCAGGAAAGGCUGUCCUCGCUGAGAACGAUGGUGGCAACAGAGCCACGCGGUGCAGGGCCUCUGCCCAGCGCCUCUCCCCCACCACACUGCAGUUCGGGGCCUCAGGGAGGGAAGGGCCUCGCCCUUGGCCGCUAGGAUGGCGGGUGGCAGGGGCCCGGGGCUUCGCACACUUGCUGGCAGGCGGAGGACGUCUUGCUGGGAGGCUCAGGUCACCCCUGUGUCAUGGGCAGACCUGCCCCCGCUCUAGACCACCCGGUCAAGGACUGUGACCACCAGCCAGGCUCGUGUUUGCGAACUUUAGAGGGUUGGGCCCGCGCUCGCGGGCUGCGGCGGCCACUGCAGGGCAGAGGGAGCCGUCGACAGGGCGUCCGUCGUCCUGGGGUUUGUCUCGGAGCUGCCCCUCACCCCGUGGCUUUGUGACCUCGGACAGGCCACUUCUCUGCUCUGAGCCUCCGUUUCCUCCUGCAUAGAGAGGAGCUGGUUUUCCUUCCCUCCCGGGAUUGGGCAAAUCUGACCGGAAUUACGGGUCCGGAGAAAAGCCCUUCCGCGAAGUUGGGAGUCAGGAAGGAGAGAGCCUGGGGCUGGUCCGGCAGCCGAGAGGAAGUGAGGAGGGCGGGCUGGCCACCUGCUCCCCCUCGGCUUCUCCGCUUCCCUGUGGCCCCGUGCCCCUCUCUGCUCAGUUCCAGGUCUAGGUGACUCAGGGCCAGUGACCUCACCUCUCUUGGCCUCAGUUCCUGUCUGUCCCUCGUGGGGGCGGGAAAAGUUGGAGUCACCAAAGCUGGGCGCCCAGCAUGUGGGCCGGGCACCGUGCGUGUCCACUCCAGGGGAGGGCAAGAAGUCAGCGACCUGGUAGAGUUCCUGUCGUGGCUCAGUGGUAACAAACCCGACUAGUACCCAUGAGGAUGCGGGUUCGAUCCCUGGCCUCGCUCAGUGGGUUAAGGAUCCAGCGUUGUCAUGAUCCUUGGACCCCACGUUGCUAUGGCUUGGACCCCACGUUGCUACGGCUGUGGAUGUGGUGUAGACCAGCAUCUGCCGCUUUGAUUUGCCCCCUAGCCUGGGAACUUCAUAUGCUGCAGGUGCAGCCCU